rnacentral:misc_RNA from 1 species
AAAAAAGCUUCGCUUUCAUUUUAAAAGCCUCAGAGAGGAGGUCCUUCCUCCUCACCUGUUACUGCUACUUCUAGUCUAUGUUAUGGAGAGUCCAGAUUUUUNNNNNNNNGACGCAUCUCGGCCGUCCAUUGGCUUCCCUAUUGGUACUGCCUUGCUCUUGAUUAUCGUCUUCACCUUGAGUUGUAUUUUCUCCUGCUGCUACCACUGGGACAAGCUCAGAUCAAACCGUCGCACUUCUUCCGACGACCCUGAUCCCGAGGUUGACAUCGAGGCUUUCAUUUUGCUUCAAAUCCGUGUGAGAUUUGGUAGGUGAAGCCUCAAAGCUUACCAGUAAUAAUGCCUGGAGAUCAGAUCCCGAAAUUUAUCGCAUUGCCAUGUCCGUGUGAGUCGACUCGAGCUGAGGAAGUAAUCGUCACGGUGCACAGACCGCCGUCGCCUAAACCGCCGCGAGUGCCGGUGCCUAUGUUUUAGUACGGAUUUACCGUAUUGAUUUUGUUUUUUUUUUUUUCAUAUUUUAGAAAAUUAAAAAAUGUAAAAGAAGAAGAAGAAGAAGAAGAAGAGUAG